AGGGUUGGAAAGAUGGCAUCUUGGCAAUAUAUAUUAAUUCUUAUGCUGGCUAUAACAACCGCAGUAUUGGCACUUGACUGUCAGUUUGAAGGUUUAUCCUAUGCAGAUGGAACAAAACAUACUGUAGACACCUAUGGGCCAUGCAUAACAUAUUCCUGCAAUAAUGGCGUAUUCACGCGCAGUAAAGUCCAAUGCGAAGAUAAAGAUGAAAACUGCAAGAAUCCAGGUGACCACUUUGCACUGGAGUAUGAUGGUAAAACUAGGGAUAACUGUGUUUGCACCAUCAAAGCUGAUAAAAGUAUCAAGUACACUUGUUUUGUAAAAAUAAAGUAAU